CUCUCAGGCCGUAUCAGCCUGAAGGCGCCCGAUCUCUUCUGAUCUCGGAAGCUAAGCAGGGUCGGGCCUGGUUAGGAUCUUGGAUGGGAGACCACCUGGGAAUCCCGGGUGCUCGAGGCU
ensembl:rRNA 5S_rRNA 5S ribosomal RNA